AUGUGACAGAAUAAUGUAUUAAAUUUAAAAUUUAAAAAUGAAUAACCCAUUAGAA
rnacentral:tRNA from 1 species